GGCUGUUCAUGUUCCAACAAAUCAUUGUAAUCUAUUGAUUGUAUUGAAAAAUAUGAUAGGAUUGUGAUUCCUGUUGUCGCGGGUUCGAGUCCCGUCAGCCACCCCA
rnacentral:tRNA from 1 species